UACGGAGGGUGCGAGCGUUGUCCGGAAUCACUGGGCGUAAAGGGCGCGUAGGUGGCGCGGGCAGUCAACGGUGAAAGUUCGGGGCUCAACCCUGAAUCGGCCGUCGAUACUCCCGUGCUGGAGCACUGUAGAGGCUAAUGGAAUUCCGGGUGUAGCGGUGGAAUGCGUAGAGAUCCGGAAGAACACCGGUGGCGAAAGCGCUCUACUGGACCACAACUGACACUCAGGGACGAAAGCUAGGGGAGCGAAUGGG
rnacentral:rRNA from 1 species